GAUGAACGCUAGCGGCAGGCCUAAUACAUGCAAGUCGAACGGUGUAGCAAUACACAGUGGCGCACGGGUGCGUAACACGUAUGCAACCUACCUUACAUUGGGGGAUAGCCUUUCGAAAGGGAGAUUAAUACCGCAUAAGACAGUAACUAGGCAUCUAGUAGCUGUUAAAGAUUUAUCGAUGUAAGCUGGGCAUGCGUCCAAUUAGUUAGUUGGCGAGGUAAUGGCUCACCAAGACGAUGAUUGGUAGGGGAACUGAGAGGUCAAUCCCCCACACUGGCACUGAGAUACGGGCCCGACUCCAACGGGAGGCAGCAGUAGGGAAUAUUGGGCAAGGGGCGCAAGCCUGACCCAGCCAGGCCGCGAGCAGGAAGAAGGCGUUAUGCGUUGUAAACUGCUUUUAUACAGGAAGAAACGACCCUUGCGAGGGGCAUUGACGGUACUGUAUGAAUAAGCACCGGCUAACUCCGUGCCAGCAGCCGCCGUAACAC
rnacentral:rRNA from 1 species